ACGUAGGGGGCAAGCGUUGCUCGGAAUUACUGGGCGUAAAGGGUGUGUAGGUGGCUGAUUAAGUUAAGGAUGAAAUCCCGAGGCUCAACUUCGGAACUGUCCUUGAUACUGGUCAGCUUGAGGCUAGUAAAGGAGAGCGGAAUUCCCGGUGGAGCGGUGAAAUGCGUAGAUAUCGGGAGGAACACCAGAGGCGUAGGCGGUUCUCUAAGCUGUAACUGACGCUCAUGCACGAAAGCGUGGGGAUCAAACAG
rnacentral:rRNA from 1 species